UCCUAACCUGGAAGUUGUUCCUUAAACACCUGCCCACGGUGGGCUACUGUGAAGCCCUUCACCCGCAGCCAUGUGGACAUGCUGGAGGAACAUCAACAGACUCUCAUCUGAACAACAAAAAAGAGGAAAGAACACUCAGCAAAGGAAAGAAGAGGCACUGAGCCAGGAAACCGGGACGCAUUACAGACACGGGACAUACGUGGGUUUACAGGAAACCGGGAUCCAUUACAGAACAACGUCAGUGAACCCCAAGCUGCAAUGAUCUAGGCCGACGAAGAAAGAAAGCCCAAGA
rnacentral:lncRNA from 1 species